UCGCCGGUGGUCCAGUGGCUAAGACUCUGCACUUUCAAUGCAGGAAGUGUGGGUUCUAUCCCUGGCCAGGGAA
rnacentral:tRNA from 1 species